rnacentral:sRNA from 1 species
GUCGAUCGUCCGUUAUCUAUGUAGAAACAGAAACAUAGAUACGAUGACAAAAAGUAUCUCUAUAUGCUAUUAUGCUAAUAGGUAGAGCUGUCAAUUAGACAGGCGGCUCAUGAACUUGCCCAGUCCAAAUGCAUAUGGACGAACUAUAUUCUGGACCAUAAAACAAAUGGUCCAAUUGGGCAUAUAACCAGUUUUGUCCACGAAUAAUAUGAGUUUGACCAUAUGGACAAUGGGCUGCCCAUGGGCAUGAAUUGAGGGAAAAAUACAAUUUCUCCGAUUUUACGAUUUUGACGGAAAAACGUAAUUCUGCAAAUUUCCUCUAAAACGCGAUUUUAUUAUUUUGGCGAGAACACAAUUUUACAGUUUCGACGGGAAAACGCAAUUCUCCGAUUUUACGGUUUUGGCGGGAAAACGCAAUUUUUCUACCAAAAUCGUGAUUUUAUUAUAUUGGCGAAAAACACAAUUUUACAGUUUUGGUGAGAAAACACAAUUCUACGUUUUGGCGAGAAAAAACAAUUUUACGAUUCUACCGUUUUGGCGAAAAAAAACAAUUUCAUAAUUUUUCCGCCAAAAUCGUGAUUUUAUUGUAUUGGUAAGAAAAACACAAUUUUACCGUUUUGUCGGAAAAAUGCAAAAUGCAAAAACA